rnacentral:rRNA from 1 species
AGAGUUUGAUCCUGGCUCAGGACGAACGCUGGCGGCGCGCCUAACACAUGCAAGUCGAACGGAGUCAAGAGGAGCUUGCUUUUCUUGACUUAGUGGCGAACGGGUGAGUAACGCGUGAGUAACCUGCCCUGGAGUGGGGGACAACAGUUGGAAACGACUGCUAAUACCGCAUAAGCCCACGGGUCGGCAUCGACCAGAGGGAAAAGGAGCAAUCCGCUUUGAGAUGGCCUCGCGUCCGAUUAGCUAGUUGGUGAGGUAACGGCCCACCAAGGCGACGAUCGGUAGCCGGACUGAGAGGUUGAACGGCCACAUUGGGACUGAGACACGGCCCAGACUCCUACGGGAGGCAGCAGUGGGGAAUAUUGCACAAUGGGGGAAACCCUGAUGCAGCGACGCCGCGUGGAGGAAGAAGGUCUUCGGAUUGUAAACUCCUGUUGUUGAGGAAGAUAAUGACGGUACUCAACAAGGAAGUGACGGCUAACUACGUGCCAGCAGCCGCGGUAAAACGUAGGUCACAAGCGUUGUCCGGAAUUACUGGGUGUAAAGGGAGCGCAGGCGGGAAGACAAGUUGGAAGUGAAAUCCAUGGGCUCAACCCAUGAACUGCUUUCAAAACUGUUUUUCUUGAGUAGUGCAGAGGUAGGCGGAAUUCCCGGUGUAGCGGUGGAAUGCGUAGAUAUCGGGAGGAACACCAGUGGCGAAGGCGGCCUACUGGGCACCAACUGACGCUGAGGCUCGAAAGUGUGGGUAGCAAACAGGAUUAGAUACCCUGGUAGUCCACACUGUAAACGAUGAUUACUAGGUGUUGGAGGAUUGACCCCUUCAGUGCCGCAGUUAACACAAUAAGUAAUCCACCUGGGGAGUACGACCGCAAGGUUGAAACUCAAAGGAAUUGACGGGGGCCCGCACAAGCAGUGGAGUAUGUGGUUUAAUUCGACGCAACGCGAAGAACCUUACCAAGUCUUGACAUCCUGCGACGCACAUAGAAAUAUG